UUGUCAUUUGUCAUUCUUUAGGUUUUGAUUGUUUGCUGCACGAUAUAAUUCUUAUUUAUUUUUAAAAUAAUUAAUUAUUUCAAAUUCGAAACGAUUUAGCAUUCGAAACAUAUUUAUAAGCGCGAGUUUAGCUAAAACAAUAAUUUUCGCAAUAAUUGCAAUUUUUAAAAAAGAGUGUCAGUUGCAGUUUAUUUAUUUUUGAAUGAAAAAAUAAAUCUUGCGAUUUCGAAAUACCUUCAUGAAUCCAAAAAAAAUUAAAACAGCAGUGUAAAAGUGAGAUAAAAUAGCGCGCAAAUGCAAUACGUCUUCGAGAAAAUAUCGAUGUGUGGAUUGGACCCGGAGGUUUGUGUUCGGUGGGAUUAUGUUAUUUCUCAGUGCCUUAGCGAUUGGAAUGAUAACUGGCCUGCAGAAUGUUACCACAGAAUUGACGACCACGGACAGUGACGUUCCUUCUACGACGGUUUCUGAUAUGGGUUUGAUCGAGGCGUCGAAGGCAUCUGAGACUAGCGACUUCGUUAAUGUGACGAUACAAGAGCGGCCCUCGAUGUGGGAUCUGUACCUGAACCACUGCCCACGGUGGAGGCCGAUAAAUCAUAUAUUUUUUCAAGUGUCGAACGUAUUUUUUUUGUUAUCAUUCCUCGCGCCCCACACUCCGACCGGACUGAUAUGGUUACGCGUGUCGCUGAUACUCGGAUGCGCGUUUUCGGGCCUCUGGGCUUGGAGCAUUGAAUGCUAUUUGGAUGCUGUGCUCUGGAACAGUGCAUUUGUGAUCAUAAACUUCAUAUAUUUUGCGAUACAGUUCUACUUAUUGAGACCGAUAAAGUUCCAUAAGGAAAUUGAAGAGGUAUAUACAGCCCUCUUCAAGCCGCUCCGCGUGUCCCGGCGGCAGUUCCGGCGCGUGUUGAUGUGCAUGCGCAACGUGCGACACCUGAAGUGCCACGAGCUGUACGCGCACGAGAAGGUCACGAAGGUGGACAGCCUGUCGCUGGUGCUGUCUGGCAAGUUGGUUGUAUCUCAGAACCAGCGCGCCCUGCACAUAGUGUUCCCACAUCACUUCCUAGACUCGCCCGAAUGGUUUGGCGUGUCCACGGAUGAAUAUUUUCAGGUAUCCAUAAUGGCGAUGGAAGAAUCGCGAGUUCUGGUGUGGCAUCGCGAUAAGUUAAAACUGUCAAUCAUGUCCGACGCAUUCCUGCAAGCUGUCUUCGACCAUAUCCUGGGCAGGGAUGUUGUUCACAAGUUGAUGCAGGUGAGCGAAACGAUGGCGGUGAGCAACGGCCACCUGCCGAACAGCUACGAGGAGGGCGAGGACAAGCCGAUGCUGAUCGUAAAGAAGUCUGGCGACGGGCCCGGGAUCACGGCGCUGCUCAAUAGACAGUUGCAAGGCGAACACGCGCCAUUACUCUGCGCGCCUCCAACGCAAGACUGCUGAACUACGAACCCUACCUUUUUACCCAUUCUCCUAUUAUCUUUUUAAUCUUUCAAAAAGUGCAAUUGUUUUAACUACUUUUGACGUAUAAGCAAAAAAAUACAGACACGUAAUUCCUUAAUAUGGUCAGAUUAUGUAAAAACUUUUUUUUUUAUAAAUGUCAAAUUAUUUGACAUGCGAAUUGUUGCCAUCAACAAAAAGAAAGUUGUUGAACUUUGAAACAAAUGUACUGUUUGAAUGCUUGUAUCACUAAAACGUGUUCACAAUUUUAUUUUAUUUAUUUGAAGCAAUGAAUCUUCAAUUACAUCCGGCUUAUUUAAAAACAAUGUCAAUAUCCAAUUCCGUCCUCUAAUAUCCAAAUUAACGAAUUUAUUUUUAUAUUGGUAUUGCUCAAUUAUAAUAUGUGAUUGGUGUGUAAUUAAUGUAGCUUUUUAUAUGUGUACGUGGUUUUUAUUUUCAUAAUGAAACGCACAUUUAUGUACCUUUAUUUUAAGUAUAAUUAACAUUGAUUAAUAAAUCAUGACAUAGUUAGUUUAGAUUAGGGUUAUAAAGUACAAUAUACACGUGAGUAUUAUAAGUAUUAACGCACAGUAUCAUUAAUAAGACAGUAUAUUUUGAAAUAUAUUAUAUUAUAUUAAUAUAAGUACAAUUAUAGCUGUUUAUGGCGAAGCUCAAUGAUUCAUAAUUAAACAAUUUAAAAAAAAUGAUGCCUAGUAUUUAACAUUAAACACGCAUGGCAAUUUAAUAUUAAUACGACUUAAAACUGGGAGAAAUUUAGUUUCGUCAACAUAUAAUAAAAGUGUUGCAUGUUAUUUAAAUAUUUUGUUGUAUCUGUAUGCUUCACAUAGUGUGAAUAAAGAUGAUUUCAUACGAUCUUUUACAAUUAAAGCUGGCAACACAUCAGCCGUAUACGACUAUUUUGUCGUUAUCCUUGCAUACAAUCAGUACUACAACAUUCAUCUUUGUUUGCACGUAAUAUAUAUUAUGUUUUUAUAUUAUUAUUUUAGUAUUUGGGUCGAGAUAACACGCUUGGCUGUCAUUGUUGUAUAUGUAUACGCCAUCGUAGUUCAUGUAGUGAUGCACAGAUGUCGCUUUUUUUCAAACAUAAAAAAAUGCAUUAUCAUAUUUCAACUUGCUUUUCGCGAUUAGUGAUACUGUUAAAAGAAAUUCAUAAAGUGAUUUAAUGACUCGUCAAGUUGAGUGUAUCUUGACCUACCACAACAAUGCUUUAAUAUGAUCCUGUUACCUUGAAUAUAUUUUAAUAUAAUAACGAUUGAUAUUAGUCUAGUAUUAUCCCUCGUGUCUCCUUUCCAUUGUAAUCCUAUGCAUGUUGGAAGACUCGAGUAAUUCAGCGGCAGAUCCGAACGCAUGGCGACUGGGCAGAAUCGAAGAGACAGACCACGAGACGCCGGUCUGAGGCCACGCAUUGCACCUAGCGGUCAGACCGCGGAGACGCGAUUACCGUUAGGGCAAGUUUUGCACAUGGCAUCCACAGACUAUACACGGACUCUAUGGUGUCUGUGGACGCCGCUUUGCGGUUCCUACGUUGACAGUGACAACUGACAGCUUCGUUGUGGUCUUAGAUAACAACAUGGAUUGGUUGUGUCAUUGUGUGAAAAACUAAAAAGUCUAUAACUACCAUAAACAUUCGGCCGUGGAGUUCGCUUCGGGAGGGAAUUAAAAUUUACUCUCCCCGCUAGAUAAAUAAAAAAGUGAUUCAAAGCGAUUUCACCGCCAUUUGUUUGGCAGCUAGUAUAAGUCUACUAGUUUUGAAUGGUUUUGCGUAAGAUAAAAAAUAUUUCGACGACGUACGUAACGUUAGGUUUAAAAUGGCUUUAAUAUCGUUGCGUUGACGCUUCGCUUUAUCGUAUAUUAUGUUUUUUGUUGUUAUUUGAAGAUUGAUUUUGUUUGAAUUUGUGAUUGAUUGGAUCUCUCUAGUUGUAUCGAACGUUUAUUUUCAUAUAAUAAUAUUAUACGACCGUGUCGCGCAGCUAUUUUCUUAUAUUGGAUAGAUUACAAGCUUUUUUUAUACGUGGGAAACAAUAUUUUUGGGUUUAUUUACAUAGUUAUAAGCUACGCGAUACAAGAAGUCUAUGUAUAAAUUGACACAAACGAAAUAUAAUAUUAUUUUGUGUACACAUUUAUGUAGAUAGAGAGAACUAGGAAAAGUAGUUAUUGGACUGACGUACUUUUUCAAGGCGGAGUUAAAUAUUGUAUAUAAUAAGUGUCUAUGUACAAAAUUAGUUUCGAUAACGUAAAUGUCGUUGCUAGUGAGAUAGUCGAUGAACUAAAUUGAAGAACUAUUAAAUUAUUAUAUUGAUGGAUGCGUUACCUAGGGUUGCCAAUUGUGUAAUUUAAUGUAUACAACAAGAUCAACAAUUCACAGUGAUAACCACAGUAUUAAUCAAAGAGAGUUCAAAAUUUAUCACGGACGAGGAAUACUCGUAUCCUUAUAAUUUGAAAUAUCAAUUUCACACUCUCUUAUUUCAAACGUUACAAGCACCUUGGCAACCUUAAUAUUGAAAAAAGUGAAGUGAGUAUCAAUGUUCACACUGUAUUACAAUAAAAGUUUAUUGAAAUCUUAUUCCUGGUCAUAAAACUUUAUCUGUAACUGUUACUACUAUAAAAAAAUAAUAAAUAAGAGGUGUAUUAUAGUCCCAGUCAUCCAUAUCAUUAUUCCUUCAAACAUAUUUGUUUUCAAAUACAUACUUCACUGUUCAGUCAGGCGCCCAUCUCUUAUCAUUAAAAAACAUGUAUGAUCAAAAAUCUUACGCACAAGAUAUUUCGACUUAUAAACUCAUGUGAAAAAACAUUAACAGUCUCCUGAAUAGUACUUAGACACUAACGAAAAUGAACUUACAAAAGUGCCGUUUUAAAUGCAAUAAGUUAAUAUAACGACGUUGACUGUGUUAGAUAAAUAAUUAAUUUGACAUUCCAAAUUUUUUUAUAGCUUGAAAUUGCUAAUGAUAUCGUGAAUUGAUUUAAAAAAAAACAUUCGAAAAGAGAACUUGAAUGUUUUAUGGUUUCGCGCCAAAAAUAUCAAACUGAUGAAAUUGGUCCUACAUACUACAUUUAAUUAGUAUGAAGAAGAAAGCCUAUGUUCGUUGCGUAAUUGCAAGUGAGACCAUGUAGUAUGUAUAAUCUAAUGUCAUAGUUUAUUUUUAUGCGCGGUCAUUAGAAGUACAAGUAUUGCCAUAAUAUUCUAUCAAUGUAGGUACAUAUCUCAUUAUAAAUAAAGAUUUGUAUGUUGGUUGUAUUUUUAAUUUAUUGCUUUUUUUGACGCAAAUGUGAGCAAGUUAAAAAAAAGUCAUUUUUAAAUCAAUUCACUGUUAAGUAAUUACUAUUAAUAAUAUAGAUUAUCAUAAAUGCACUGCCAUUGCAAAUGUAUGUGAUUUGUUAAAUGCCGAUUUGUGUCAUGAUAUUGGAUCUCAUUGGAUGACGAAAUUUGAUGGAUUACUUGGAGAUUAUGUUUCGCCUGAUGUUCUUCUUUAUAUACUAUAUUUCUUGGAAUACAAUCAGAACAAAGGGAUGAAAAGAGGCCCGCUAUAUCGUUAUGAACAUCGAGCCAAACCUAGCCUGCCUGUAUGUAAUGAUUCGUUAAGGUAUUUGAAUUAUUUUAAUGCACAAUGAUCAAUAAAUUAUAUUUGAAAGCUUAUAUGAAGCUAUUCAUCAAGUGAUUUUGUCUUUUAAUUCAAAGUUUUACUCUGAAUUGCAUAAAUUGCUCAAUGAUAAGUGUUUGACAUUAACAAAAUGUACAAUUUUUAUGCUCUAGUUAACACGUUGCAUAAACUUCAGAGACCCGGAAAGGUUAAAUGGUUUCUCAAGCAAGAUUAAUAAUUUUUCAUUUUUUUAUACAUAUUUCCUUAAUAUAAUAGAAAAUAUUCUUAUUUUAUGCUCCCUGCAGACCCUCUAAAGAAAUUUACCUAACAGCACGCUGCGUUACUUGUUGUCAGUUGACUGUUUAUUAUUUAUAGGAUAAUGUGCUAAUUUUUGCGUCAAUACAAAACAUUUGUUUCAUUGCAGAUACAUAUACACAAAAUAAUUAAAUAAUUAUGAUUUAUCAUGGCUAAUCCGAUCACACUUGACGGUAUUUUGGUUUGACCGUUUAAUAAUGUGCAUUAAAAUAAUUUUCAUUCCUUACACAUGUAACGAUAUAACUGUUGUACAAAUUGAAGGUUAUCAAAGUAAAACGUUACACUUUGGUGUUACACCUUUAGAAUGCCUUAAUGAUUUGCCGUGUGUGAUAUAUGUAAAUUAUGUGUGGGUGAUCACUUGAAUCAUUGUAGUACAUGUUAAUGAGAUAGAAAAUAAAACUACCUUAUGAAUUGUG